GAUGAACGCUGGCGGCGUGCCUAAUACAUGCAAGUCGAGCGAACAGACGAGGAGCUUGCUCCUCUGACGUUAGCGGCGGACGGGUGAGUAACACGUGGAUAACCUACCUAUAAGACUGGGAUAACUUCGGGAAACCGGAGCUAAUACCGGAUAAUAUUUUAAACCGCAUGGUUCAUUAUUGAAAGACGGUUUUGCUUUCACUUUUAGAUGGAUCCGCGCCGCAUUAGCUAGUUGGUAAGGUAACGGCUUACCAAGGCAACGAUGCGUAGCCGACCUGAGAGGGUGAUCGGCCACACUGGAACUGAGACACGGUCCAGACUCCUACGGGAGGCAGCAGUAGGGAAUCUUCCGCAAUGGGCGAAAGCCUGACGGAGCAACGCCGCGUGAGUGAUGAAGGUCUUCGGAUCGUAAAACUCUGUUAUUAGGGAAGAACAAAUGUGUAAGUAACUAUGCACGUCUUGACGGUACCUAAUCAGAAAGCCACGGCUAACUACGUG
rnacentral:rRNA from 1 species